rnacentral:rRNA from 1 species
AGAGUUUGAUCCUGGCUCAGAACGAACGCUGGCGGCGUGGAUUAGGCAUGCAAGUCGAGCGAGGACGUGUCCUUCGGGAUACGAGCCGAGCGGCGAACGGGUGAGUAAUACAUAGAUAACCUACCCUUGAGUCUCGGAUAACGGCGUCACUUUUUGUGGCUUUACCGAAAGGGCCGCUAAUACGGGAUGACCUCGCGGGAUCGCCUGUUCCUGCGAGCAAAGGCCGGGACCCCGAGUAAUCGGGGCCUGUUGCUCAGGGAGGGGUCUAUGUCCUAUUAGCUUGUUGGUGAGGUAACGGCUCACCAAGGCUUUGAUGGGUAGCUGGUCUGAGAGGAUGGUCAGCCACACUGGGACUGAGACACUGCCCAGACUCCUACGGGAGGCUGCAGUCGAGAAUCAUUAUCAAUGCGCGAAAGCGUGAUCAUGCGACGCCGCGUGCGGGAUGAAGGCUUUCGGGUUGUAAACCGCUGUCAGGGUGAAGGAAAUGCGGUGGUGUUAAUAGCGCCGCCGCUUGACCGAUCCCAAAGGAAGCCACGGCUAACUCCGUGCCAGCAGCCGCGGUAAUACGGAGGUGGCUAGCGUUGUUCGGAAUCACUGGGCAUAAAGAGCACGUAGGCGGCAUGGUAAGUCGGGUGUGAAAUCCCUCAGCUCAACUGAGGAAUUGCGCCCGAUACUGCUGUGCUAGAGAGCAGGAGGGGAGAGUGGAACUCUAGGUGGAGCGGUGAAAUGCGUAGAUAUCUAGAGGAACGCCGGUGGCGAAAGCGACUCUCUGGCCUGUCUCUGACGCUGAGUGUGCGAAAGCUAGGGUAGCGAACGGGAUUAGAUACCCCGGUAGUCCUAGCCGUAAACGAUGGGCACUAAGUAGAGGAGAUUCCGAUGUCUUCUCUGCCGGAGCUAAUGUAUUAAGUGCCCCGCCUGGGGAGUAUGGUCGCAAGGCUAAAACUCAAAGGAAUUGACGGGGACUCGCACAAGCGGUGGAGUAUGUGGCUUAAUUCGAGCUACGCGAAGAACCUUACCUGGGCUUGACAUGUACGGAUGCCUUCCCUGAAAGGGGAUCUGGCUGCUCUCUGAGUGAAACGUACACAGGUGCUGCAUGGCUGUCGUCAGCUCGUGCCGUGAGGUGUUGGGUUAAGUCCCGUAACGAGCGAAACCCUUAUCCUUAGUUGCCAGCAGUUCGGCUGGGGACUCUAAGGAGACUGCCGCCGUUAAGGCGGAGGAAGGUGGGGAUGACGUCAAGUCAUCAUGGCCCUUACGCCCAGGGCUGCACACGUACCACAAUGGCCGGUACAAAGGGAAGCAAAACCGUGAGGUGGAGCAAAUCCCAAAAAGCCGGUCCCAGUUCGGAUCGAAGGCUGCAAUUCGCCUUCGUGAAGUCGGAAUCGCUAGUAAUCGCGGAUCAGCUACGCCGCGGUGAAUAUGUUCCCGAGUCUUGUACACACCGCCCGUCAAGCCAUGAGAGCGGGGGGUGCCCUAAGUCGCUGAUCUAACCCCGAGCAAUCGGGGAGGAAGGUGCCAAAGGCAAACCCCGUGAUUGGGACUAAGUCGAAACAAGGU